ACAACAGCAGAGACAUCAAUGACAACAGACAGCACCACAAUAGAUACUACAACAGAAAAAAGCACCACCACCAGUACCACAACUUUAGAAAGUACAACAGCAGAAACUUCAACAACAAUUGAAAGCACCACAACUGAGACAACAACAGAAAGUACAACCACAGGCACCACAACAGAAAGUACAACCACUGGUACCACAACACCAGAAAGUACAACAGCAGAGACAACAAUAGCAACAGACAGCACCACAAUCGAUGCUACAACAACAGAAAGCAACACCACCGUUACCACAACUUUAGCAAGUACAGCAG
ensembl:lncRNA